GCACCUUCCAGAUUCUGUCCUCAAGCGACCAGCUGGACUACAGAUCACCUCAGUGAGGUGGUUAAAAGUCACAGGUAUUGGGAAAGGAAUCGAUCGCAAACAUUGGCUCAUUCUAAGAUCCGAUGACAGUAUAUCACAGUUGAGGAUCCUUGGAAUCUGUACGCCAGACAGAGCCACAGUCUAUUUGAGGGAUGGAAAUCGUGGCUGAUCUCCAAACCAAAACAAGGAGCUACACCUCAACCUCCCUAUUUUGCAAGCCACUACCCUAGAGCAUAUGAGAGUCCUCUGCCCAUCAAAAAAAAACAAGUACCAAGAUCUGAUGACCAUGCUCAACUACUUGCCAGCUGCUGCACGCUCUUUUUAUAAAUCACUGCAGAGUGAAUAAUUUGAUGUUAAACCAAGCUACAUAAUUAACCGUUUUUUCUGUGAGUUUAUGAUCCCCUGAACCUGUAUAGUAUGUUGAAUCUGAAUACAUUUCAGAAAACAUGUCACCCCUAUUGUAGGAAUUUUCUAUGUGAAUCAAUUUGUGUAUGAUUUCAACCAGCACAAUAUAUUGAAUUAAUUUAAUUUUAAGAUGUUGUUCCUAGUGUAGAAAAUGUUAUGUACAAUGUGUUCUGUUGAGAAUGAUUUUGUGUGUGAUCAUUUGAACCUUUUUUAAAUCUGAAUUAAUUAAAAACAAACAAGUCAUCA